GAUGAACGCUGGCGGCGUGCCUAAUACAUGCAAGUCGAGCGAACGGACGAGAAGCUUGCUUCUCUGAUGUUAGCGGCGGACGGGUGAGUAACACGUGGAUAACCUACCUAUAAGACUGGGAUAACUUCGGGAAACCGGAGCUAAUACCGGAUAAUAUUUUGAACCGCAUGGUUCAAAAGUGAAAGACGGUCUUGCUGUCACUUAUAGAUGGAUCCGCGCUGCAUUAGCUAGUUGGUAAGGUAACGGCUUACCAAGGCAACGAUGCAUAGCCGACCUGAGAGGGUGAUCGGCCACACUGGAACUGAGACACGGUCCAGACUCCUACGGGAGGCAGCAGUAGGGAAUCUUCCGCAAUGGGCGAAGGCCUGACGGAGCAACGCCGCGUGAGUGAUGAAGGUCUUCGGAUCGUAAAACUCUGUUAUUAGGGAAGAACAUAUGUGUAAGUAACUGUGCACAUCUUGACGAUACCUAAUCAGAAAGCCACGGCUAACUACGUG
rnacentral:rRNA from 1 species